rnacentral:rRNA from 1 species
AACGCUAGCUACAGGCUUAACACAUGCAAGUCGAGGGGCAGCGUUGGAGUAGCAAUACUUCAGAUGGCGACCGGCGCACGGGUGAGUAACACGUAUCCAACCUACCGUUUACUACGGGAUAGCCUUCUGAAAAGGAGAUUAAUACCGUAUGGCAUUCUAAAGUUUCAUGACAUUAGAAUUAAAGGUUUACCGGUAAUCGAUGGGGAUGCGUUCCAUUAGAUAGUAGGCGGGGUAACGGCCCACCUAGUCUACGAUGGAUAGGGGUUCUGAGAGGAAGAUCCCCCACAUUGGAACUGAGACACGGUCCAAACUCCUACGGGAGGCAGCAGUGAGGAAUCUUGGUCAAUGGGCGCAAGGCCUGAACCAGCCACGUAGCGUGAAGGAAGACUGCCCUUAGGGUUGUAAACUUCUUUUAUAAGGGAAUAACGUCAGUAACGAGUUACUGAUUGCAUGUACCUUAUGAAUAAGGAUCGGCUAACUCCGUGCCAGCAGCCGCGGUAAUACGGAGGAUCCGAGCGUUAUCCGGAUUUAUUGGGUUUAAAGGGUGCGUAGGCGGGAGCGGAAGUCAGCUGUGAAAUUUUAUGGCUCAACCAUAAACUUGCAGUUGAAACUCCGUUUCUUGAGUACACAUGAGGUGGGCGGAAUUUGUGGUGUAGCGGUGAAAUGCUUAGAUAUCACGAAGAACUCCGAUUG